CCUAUUUGUCAUUGUUUGCUACAUGUGGGGGUGAUACAUAUAUGAGAUGACGAGCGUAUAUGUCAUGACCCAAAAAUUGCUCCGAAAGAGUCAUGAUGGCACCUAGUCUCUAAACUAGGUAAGCCUAAUAUUAACUGAGAUAACAUUUAUAUUUGCAAACUUUAAUUUAAAUAACUUUUAACAAAUUACAAUUCCCAAAACCGGUGGUACAAGUCACAAGCCUUUCUAAGAGUAGUUAUAAAAAAUAAAUACAUCACUGCUCCGAAAUAAAAUGAACAAAUGAAAAUAAGUACAAAUGAAGGUGACUCUGAGGCUUGCAAAUGCAGUAGCAGGUUUACCUUGAGUCUCCACCGCAAUGACCCGCAGCUACUACCAAUCAAAUACCUGGAUCUGUACACAAAAAUGUACAGAAGUGUAGUAUGAGCAUACCACGGCGGUGCCCAGUAAGAAUCAAGACUAACCUCGGUGGGGUAGUGAUGAGGAACAGUUCAGACACCUACUGGUCAAAUAAAUUGAACAGCAUUUGAUAAUAAACUAUCAACCUAGAAAUGACAUAGUUGUCACACCUUCGUUUUCACCUACACCCCGGAAGGGGGUAUAAAGGAGUUUUUUUAACUUAAAGUGACAAUCGAAACAGGAUUAUUUAUUAAAAAUUCAGAGUCGCCACUUGGGAUAAUUUAUGGUGUCCCAAGUCACCGGUUCAAAUCCCGAAUCGAGGAAAAGAUUGACUCUGUAUUACAGUCCGCGAACCAGAAAUUCGAGUAAGGAAUUCUGUUAACCCGGGAGAAGGUAUUAGGCAUUCCCGAGUUUCGUGGUUUUAGCACGGUCGCUCAACUGUUAUAUUCGGCUUAAUUAUCUGAUUUUUGUACAUGUUCAAACCUAUGUGCAUUUUCAACCUUAACCGCUUUUAUUCAUUUUUAGGAAGAUGGCAACAUUAUUAAAAUACGCCUUGAACCACAUCACAUAAAUGCACCCGUGGUCUUUGACAUAUUUUAACAUUGUUGAAAUUUGGAUUUGGGUUAACAUAAAUGCACACUCAAACCCUUUUAUCUAAUUUGAUGUAGUUCAGUUCAUGAUUAGCAACCUAAUUUCCAUACCGUGACAAAAUCAUGUUCAACUAUAAUCAAUUCGAGCAAGCAUAUGAAUAGAUAACUAAAUGAGCAAAUUCAAAACUUUGAAAAAUAACUACACAAACAACGGAAUCAUAUCACCAAAUUAAUCAAUGACACUCCAAAACUCACUAGCUUCCAACCUUGAAUAUCCAACGAUAAUACAAAAUUCGCCUAGUUACUAGCAUAAGCACAAUUUUUUUUAAAAAAAAACAGGUGACAGGUGACUCCUUUGAAUUAAGUAGUAAGUCUUUAUUAUUUCAAGCCUUUUACUUUCAGAGAGUUCAAAUACAUAUUAUGAAGACAACGUAUCCUUUGAAAUUUCAAAAUGCAACAAUCAGCCAUGACUCUCAUUUUCAACAAACACACGGCCUAACCAGUCGUUAUAAUAUCAUACACCUGAUGCAAGGUCUAAAAAUGACAUAGACAACAAUGAAAGAAGUAGAUGUAACAGUUAUAGUCGAAUAACUUACAAAAGAUUGGCUCAGUUGGAAACGAACAGAUCCGGAAACGAACAAAGAACAACGAGCGGAACCUCGAUUGGAAUCGACAGAUGGCGAACUAACCGGCUUCCGGCGAGGCACGUCGGAGACAGAGGUGAGACAGAAAAGACGAAGGAGCGAGAGGUAUUUGGAGGGGUGAAGUUGUAUCCCUAUUUUCAUCUUCGUCUUAUCCAUUUUCCGCUAGGUCCUGUCCGUGGUCGCUGCUCAAGGAAGAUGAAGAUGCUUGGUUUUUUUUUCCAGGGAGAUGGUUGAAGGUGAUGAAGCACGGCUGAAGGUGAUGAAGCUUGGCUGCUUCUGUCUAGGUCCAGGCGUUAUAGUUCUCUAUAGGUUGAAGAAGAAGAACAACCAAAUGGUCUCAUUUUUCGGUCCUUGUUGCUAAAGAAAAUGAACAAAUGAGGGGGUCAAAGAAGACGAUCCGAAGGGGGGAGGGGUCCUGUUGUUUAGCUGCUUGAUUUUUUAGUGUCUUAGGCUUCAAGUUUGGGUCGAAAAUGGGGUCGCCUGGUGUUUCUAAUGUUGAAGAAGUUGAUGCAACGCUGGGGAUCGUUUGGAGAAAAUGGAGACGGGGGGCGGGGGG
rnacentral:lncRNA from 1 species